GCAGACUGAAGCCGAAAGUACCAAUCGAACCGUCAAACGCGGUACCAAUCGAACAAUGUAAAUAAACAUGCAAGUUUUGUGAUGAAGUGUUUGAGGAGUAUUGUAAUUAUUUCAAACAAGAUUUAAAAUAAGUUGCAACCUGUUGUUUUUGCUUGUAAACGUGAACGGAAGGAUGCUCAGCUUUAUGAAAACAACAAAAGUUUCACUUCAUCGCGGAAAAAAUACAUCGGAUCGGACCAGGAAAUGAAGCAUCUGGAGGAUAAGGAUCAUGCAUUUAUCGGAAACUUAGUGCUUCGAGCUGUGAAACAACCCAUCUAUAAAUAUGGUCACUACAUCCCAGUCUCGUUAUUUUUAAUCAGUUUAUGUUAAUCAAUGUUUUCCGGGUGAUUGUGUGUUAUAUACGCGAAUAAUAAAUGAAGCGGAGUUGCACGAGGCCAACUCGUAUCCAGCCUACCCCGUUAUCGCAGCCUACCCCAAAAAAAUGGAUUGUGCUUUGCAAGAAAUAAACUUGAAGGUAAAUACCCUAUACCAAACCAUCAAUAAGUUCAAUGGAUUUCGACGUUUUAAAUCACUGUUCUGCUUUCCGGGUAUUUGUGUAUCGCCGUAAUUAAUAGCACCACUCCCGACGUAAAAUAUUUUCAAAGCUGUACCUGAAAAAUAAAUGUAGCACAAGUAAAAUAAAUAAUAA